AGCUCUCAAAGUCUCUCUCUAAUCGUUUGCUACUUUGUUUUUCAUUUCUAACAAUGGUUUGAAAUCUUGGUAUAACCAAAUUUUGCUGACAUUACUAGAUUAGAUAUUAGACUAGAUUAACACUCUCCUUUUUUUUUCUUGGGCAAAAGAUUAACACUCUCCCUAUUAUAAAUGUUUAUAUAUUUGUCACGUAUGAUGAUGUAUGUCUCUAUUGUCAUUCCUCUAAACAAACAUUCAAGAUGAUUCAAUAAGACAAUUUACCUUUGUUGAAGAUACUUCUCAGUUCUC